rnacentral:rRNA from 1 species
UGAGUAACACGUAUGCAAUCCACCUGUAACAGGGGGAUAACCCGGAGAAAUCCGGACUAAUACCCCAUAAUAUGGGCGCUCCGCAUGGAGAGUCCAUUAAAGAGAGCAAUCUUGGUUACAGACGAGCAUGCGCUCCAUUAGCCAGUUGGCGGGGUAACGGCCCACCAAGGCGACGAUGGAUAGGGGUUCUGAGAGGAAGGUCCCCCACAUUGGAACUGAGACGCGGUCCAA